rnacentral:lncRNA from 1 species
UUGGCAUGUUUCUGUAAAAACAGUUCAGCUGGGACCCGUCUUUUGGAAGUAGUUUGCACAAGUUGCCAUGUCCAAUUUUCUCAAUUAUCCUUGUUCAUAAUUUUUAUAUAAUGUUAGCUAGGUUGAGGAUUCUUAUGGUAAUAUUUUUUGUAGAAAAUAAGAAAUAACAUGGGCAAUGACCAAAUUAACGUUUAUAGGUAUGAUAUCCAAAUGUGGGGGAAGGGCAAUUUCAGAACAUGUUUGGAUAACCAUUAUCGAUUGUG